rnacentral:rRNA from 1 species
GAUCAUGGCUCAGAACGAACGCUGGCGGCGUGGAUAAGACAUGCAAGUCGAACGGGAGAAUUGCUAGCUUGCUAAUAAUUCUCUAGUGGCGCACGGGUGAGUAACACGUGAGUAACCUGCCUCUUAGUGGGGGGAUAGCCCUGGGAAACCGGGGAUUAAUACCGCAUACGAUUGAAAGAUCAAAGCAGCAAUGCGCUAGGAGAUGGGCUCGCGGCCUAUUAGUUAGUUGGUGAGGUAACGG